rnacentral:tRNA from 1 species
UAUGGCAGAUAAGUGCAAAGGACUUAAAAUCCUUAUAUAAAGAAAAAUCUUUUAUUAAAA